UAACAAGGGGGGGAGGAGAAAGGAAGAGGGAGGUGCGGUGGUGGUUGGUUCACCGGUCCGGUGGCACUGGAUUGGCACCAGCACAGAGCUCCUGCUUACGGAAACGAAGAUCCGUUCUUGGGGAUGCGAAGAUCCAGGGAGGCACUCUCCCGUUCAGUUCUCCUUACUAUCGGUUCAGGGCCAUGCCACAGCAGGUGAAAGUUAAUCCCCUUCUGGGCCGGCAGACGUGACAUGGUAAGAAAGCUGACACAGAGAUUCGAUUUUGUUUGGUCAGGUCUUCAUUAGAUGGACGACUGUUCUUAUUUAGUGUCUCUGGUUUCCUCUUGUGCCUUUCAUUCAGGCUGGCUUUCACGGGAUUGGCAUUGGUGGCGCAGUCAAUACUACCUACAGAAGUGCCACCAACUUGCACCAAGCUAUUGCGUCAAGGUGAGAUGAUCAAUUCGCUCCUUGGCGGCCGCCACCCUGUUUAGUACUCUUAUUAAUCUAAUUCCUCUUAUUUCUCUCUUGUUGAUGCAAACCUGCAAACUUCACGUGAAGGCUCAGUCUUUUCGUGUGUUUCAUACGUCUUGAAAACACAUAGGUUGAUUCAUAUGAUUCUUCAGCGGUAGCAAGUUUGUCAUGUACAUUCCUUCCUAUAAGCAACUGAAGCGGCAGGCACCUCCAACCAACGCUUUCCCGGGUGAUCCCCGGCCACGAGCACGUCUAUCCCUACAAGCUGCUACCGGUGCUCCCUCUCCGCUGGAUGCGGCAAGGUCGUGGGAGUGUUCUGUAGCUCGGCGCUGCACCAUGGGCACCCGAUCGUCGCCCUCAUGGCCACUGCCGCAGACUUCGUGUCUGGCCUGCUU
rnacentral:lncRNA from 1 species